rnacentral:rRNA from 1 species
CAAUAGCGUAUAUUAAAGUUGUUGCAGUUAAAAGCUCGUAGUUGGAUCUCGGGUCCGGGCUCGCGGUCCACCUCGCGGUGGUUACUGCCCGUCCCGACCUACCUACCGGUUUUCCCUUGGUGCUCUUAACUGAGUGUCUCGGGUGGCCGGAACGUUUACUUUGAAAAAUUAGAGUGUUCAAAGCAGGCGCUUCGCCUGAAUAAUGUUGCAUGGAAUAAUGGAAUAGGACCUCGGUUCUAUUUUGUUGGUUUUCGGAACUUGAGGUAAUGAUUAAGAGGGACAGACGGGGGCAUUCGUAUGAUGGUGUUAGAGGUGAAAUUCUUGGAUUUGUUAAAGACGGACUACUGCGAAAGCAUUUGCCAAGGAUGUUUUCAUUGAUCAAGAACGAAAGUUAGGGGAUCGAAGACGAUUAGAUACCAU